rnacentral:lncRNA from 1 species
AAGUGCUGUUUCAUUAAAUUCUGCUCCUAACAUUUGUCCACUAAUCUUUCUCUGACAUAUUAUACUCGUGUUUGUUCAUGCCGGAGACAAAGCAGAUCAGCUGUACCUCUGGUCCUCUUUGUCUUCUUGUCUUUGAAGACGACUUGUCCAUAACUGACGUCUUCAGCUGGUCUCACUGCAGAGUAAACCACAGCUGGAUCAUUCUCUGCAACAGAAGGAGACUAUGAACACACAUUAUCUGUCAUGCAGGGUUAUAAUACGAUUAAUUAUGGAGUUCAUAAAUGUCAGCAACAGUUUCUUUUAUUCUUAACACCUUCGCUGUGAAAAUCAAUAGUUCAAAACUAAACUGGACGACCACAAACACACGGUUGAAGUUGUUGAGCUGCAGUCAGUGGAGAGGAAACCACAGCAGGGUGAGUCAGUCAGAGAGGAAGGAGGAGGGUCUGACUGAUGUGACCAUGAAGUGAUGAAGUGUAGAUGUCAUAUGAGUCGCUGUUAGGAUGGAGGAAACACGUCUGCUGCGUCUGCUCUGUAAGUACACUCACACAUCAGCUGGAAGAAGAAACACACACUUUGUUUUGUGGAACAUGAACAGACGUUAGUGUCCAUGUUACUCUGACAGGACGUCACUUUUCACACUGUUGCUUUAAAAACAACAUGAGCUGAUGACGUUUCUUUGAUACGACUGUCCUCCUCUGUGUUUCCUCUCAAACCAACCGGAGUGUCUUUUGUCUUUAGUUGUGACGUCACUGCUGAGCGGCUGCACACACCAAGCCUCUCUGAAGAUCAGUCCUCACAGAUCUCAGCUGUUUGAAGGAGAGUCUGUCUCUCUGAGGUGUGAGGAGGACGACAGCUCUGAUGGAUGGACGGUGACGAGGAACACGACUGAAGGAACCAAGACUCAGUGUGGAGCUGACUGGGGAAGGAAAGAUGGUUCUUCCUGUAACAUCAGCUACAUGAGGACAGUGGACAGUGGAGUUUACUGGUGUGAGUCCACAGGCGGAGCAGCCAGUAGCAGCAUCAACAUCAUUGUCACUGGUAAGAUGAGGCUGUUGUAACUCCAGCAGGUCUGAACACUGAGUCUGUCUUUCACCUUUUCACUUUGGCUGAGCCUGAGAGAGACAAAGACAAGAAGACAGACAGGUGACCUUCAGGAGGCAACAACACUGGGUGGAGCACUGAGUCUGCCUCCUCAACAUGUU